UGGGUGUCGCCUGGAACAAGGAAGCAAGAACCAAAAACCCUCAACAUCAUAAAAUCAGCAAAUUGAAAGGGAAUCCAUGGCCUAAAUUACUGCAUGUGCACAUAGAAACGUUCAACUAAGUUAGUCUAUCGAAUGGAGUAAAAGAGGAAGACACAAGCCAUUCCGGAUCACGAGCUAAACACGACAAAGGUAAAGCUAUUUGAUGGAUGGCAUAUUUGGACCGAACACACUUGUGAUGCACGCUUCCGCGAAGUUGCUAGUCAUAGCCUAAACUUUUGUUAAAUGUUUCUUUUGUUAAAAACGGGUCUUAUGUAAGUAACUUAAUCCGGUAGUUCUUGGAUCUUGAACUUGUAGUUAAA